rnacentral:rRNA from 1 species
AUUGAACGCUGGCGGCAUGCCUUACACAUGCAAGUCGAACGGUAGCGGGCCUUCGGGUGCCGACGAGUGGCGAACGGGUGAGUAAUGUAUCGGAACGUACCUUUCAGUGGGGGAUAACGUAGCGAAAGUUACGCUAAUACCGCAUAUUCUGUGAGCAGGAAAGCAGGGGAUCGCAAGACCUUGCGCUGAUUGAGCGGCCGAUAUCAGAUUAGCUAGUUGGUGAGGUAAAGGCUCACCAAGGCGACGAUCUGUAGCGGGUCUGAGGGGAUGAUCCGCCACACGGGACCUGAGACACGGGCCAGACUCCUACGGGAGGCAGCAGUGGGGAAUUUUGGACAAUGGGGGCAACCCUGAUCCAGCCAUGCCGCGUGAGUGAAGAAGGCCUUCGGGUUGUAAAGCUCUUUCGGCCGGGAAGAAAUCCUAUCAGCUAAUACCUGGUGCGGAUGACGGUACCGGCAUAAGAAGCACCGGCUAACUACGUGCCAGCAGCCGCCGUAACAC